AUAACACUUAAGAAAUAGGUGACUAAAACCGCAUAAGCGCGACGGGACCGCAUGGUCUUGUGUAGAAAAACUCCGGUGGUACAGGAUCGGUCCCGCGUCUGAUUAGCCAGUUGGCAGGGUAACGGCCUACCAAAGCGACGAUCAGUAGCCGGCCUGAGAGGGUGAACGGCCACAGUUGGGACUGAGACACCGGACCCAAACUCCUACGGGGAGGCAGCAGGUGGGGAAUAUUGCACAAGUGGGGGAAACCCUGAUGCAGCGACGCCGCGUGAGUGAAGAAGUAUUUCGGUAUGUAAAGCUCUAUCAGCAGGGAAGAAGAUGACGGUACCUGAGUAAGAAGCCCCGGCUAACUACGUGCC
rnacentral:rRNA from 1 species